CAGCAGUCGCACUCGGGAAAGCACCCAGAGGCCCAUCAACGGGUGCACAAGCGACGAGCUAGUCCUGCCAGGGGAGAAAGCGACAAAGUGAACAAUAAGGAAGUGUGUGCACUCCACGGUCCCGCUGGACGGUCUUCUCAGCAACAUACAACUAGAGAAGGGGACGCUGGGGAGCACUCCGGGCACCUGCCCUGGGGACGGUGUGGAGCACUUGGGGCACCUGCACCCUGGGGAAGGUCGGGGAGCACCUGGAGCAUGUGAACCCUGGGAAGGUUAAGAGGUGCCCGGAAGAGGAGCCCAUCGUGCCAGAAGUGUCCAGUGUCGACCGCGGUGAACACGCAACCUUGCCAGGGCGCUCCACGUACUGACCUGGUGGAUGGUGAAAUGGGCGAAGCCCCGCGUUGGCCGGGCUGACGGGGCAGGUGUGAUCCCGCACCCUGGUCGUGCCGAGCCUCGUCCGGGCUUCAGGAGGGAGCCCUGGGAGUGAGAAGUCUGUGCAGAAGUUUUCACGGAUGUUUCUCCCGGAAAUCGCGACUUCGGAGAAAUGACCCCAAGAGAACUGCAGCUGUACCAACACGUCCUUCAAGUUAUUUACCGCCGUAAAGACGGUUGAGAGUCCGACGGGUUAACAAAAGACGCCCAGCCCGGCACGCUCCGGAAUACCGCCUCGGUGAAAUGCGGCUCAGCUGCCAAAGUGACAAGCAGGUGGCCACGUCAAACCACGUGCGAAUUCAUGGGAAAGAGCAGGCCGCCUUGCAAAUGCUCAUCAACGGACAAAAACCAGGAGAGCUUACUUGAAAAGAUUAGAACGGAGAUCAGAUUCUGUGCCAAGGACGCGGGGGCACCGUUUGCUUGCAAAGUCCCGGGCAGGAUGAGGUGGCUCCCACUGUAUGUGCCGCUGUCACCUGCCUCCUUCCUCCCUGGGGACCACCGCAUCCCCCAUGGCGAGCCAGACACACAGCAACACCAGCCUGGCAGAGAGGCCACUGGUGUACGUCUGGGUCACUCCAGGGGGAGAGAAGCUGCGUGGGGUGGCGCCCGGCUGGCCCCUCCCCCAUGGGUAAACUGAGGCUCGGUGGUCAGGAAGUGGCAAGUGGGACUCCUGCGGGCCGUUGCCUGUUAGCCUCUUGUGUUCACCAGGCCUCUCCAGAGCAUCAAAACCGCCAGGACGGGAUGUGUAGAAACAAGAGCUUUGUCACAGGGACCGGGUGCGGAGGAUUUCAGCGGCUGCUGAGGGCCACCGGCCGGGGGGAGACCUGGCAGGGCCGAAGGUGCAUUCCGGUCUGAAGGCGGGAGAAUCCCCCUUGCCGGGGAGGCUGGUCUUUUGUUCCAUUCCUCCCUUCACCUGAUUGGGUGAGGCCCCUGCAUUGCGGAAGGCCACCUGCUUUAUCCAGACUCCUGUGAUGUGUGUUAAUCUCAUCCAGAAACAUCCUCCCGGUUGACACAAAAAAGUAACCAUCCCGGGCCGGCCUCCCCUCUCCUGUGUGGAGGCACCUGUGGAAUAAGCCCCCAAGAUGACCACCCACCAGUGCCCUCUGCCGACCCUGCCCGAGGGCUGCCCGCCCCCCGGCAGGCCACCCCAGCCCGUGGGGUCUCUUUCUUCCUUAUGUCAAAGCUCAGAUAAAAUCAGAGGCCCCGCCCCCCCGUUGGCCCUAAGAAGGUCUCGUCUCCCCACGACCCCUCUCUGGGAGUGCAGGACACCGCUUUGAAUCUGAAUUUCAGGGGAACGACAAAUACCCCUUUAGUGUAUGUUCCGUGCAGUAUUUGGGGUUCACAUAUACUAAAAACAGCAUCCGUGGUUCACCUGUGAUUCAGAUUUAGCUGGAGAGCCUGCAUUUUUAUGUGGCACCCUCAGCCGGCUGUCCCUGGACCGGCUGUCGCCAUCACCACCUGGCCCAGACCUCCCUCGAGCCCCAGGCCCCCCUGCCCUCUGUGGCUCUCCCUGGGGAGGGACAUCCUCGUCCGGGGUCAGCUCCAGCCCUCCCCGAGGCACACGGUCCGCUUACUGGCCUGAAGGGGGCUCAGAAAAAUCUCAGCUUUUGGAAAUCCGUAUUGAAAUCCCAAAUCUGGCCUGGCCGGAGGAGGCGUGGGGCAGGUUUCCUUCCUGGGAGCGGGAAGGGCACCCCGUUCUCACAUGCACGUGGCCGUGGGGAGCCAGACCCCGGCGACAGCUGGGGCUGCACCGUGCCCCCUGCUCUGUGAUCUUGGGCAAAGAUCACCGAGAGUUGAAACAUGAAAGACAGAAGCAGCAGAGUACCAAACCAAGGGUGGGCCCCUGAGCUCGGGCAGUGGCCCGGCUCCACGUCCCUCCCCGGCCCUCGCUCUCCUGGAGCCCGUGGCCAUGGGUGACGCAAUAGGCCUGGCCUGGCGCUCACCCCACAGGCCUUCCCAGCAAAGGCUGCAGCACGUGGCCAUCGUUUUACACGCAGAUUGCGAGGGCGUGUGUCCUGUGGCGCCCAGGGAGGCAGGAGGCCCCCGCCGGGCAGGGCUGGGGCUCUAGACACGGGAGCUGAGUGAGCGCGGGCCCCGAGGAGGUGUCCCCAGUGCACCCCGCACGUCCACGAGGCCAGUGCAGUGACCAGGGCGCCGGCCUGCGUGGCUUCGCACGGGGUGGGACGGGGUGGGACCCAGUCCCCGCACCGCUGGUUCCUCCCCGAAACCGACCCCCGCCGCAUUCCUGGCUAAACCGAGGCCAGAAGAGGCAGCGGGUCCCUGCAGAGGAGGGGCGCCCUCCGGCUCGGCGACCCGGGACCCGAGGGCACAUCCCACCGCGCUGGCCGAGUGAACCGUCCCCCCCACAAACACGCAGACGCCUUCAGGCCUUUGGUAAAGAGCAUCA